rnacentral:rRNA from 1 species
GAUGAACGCUGGCGGCGUGCCUAAUACAUGCAAGUCGAACGCAUUGUGGUUGAAAUGAUAUGAAGAACUUGUUCAGAUUUGAUUUUAAACAUUGCAAUGAGUGGCGAACGGGUGAGUAACACGUGGGAAACCUACCUCUUAGCAGGGGAUAACAUUUGGAAACAAAUGCUAAUACCGUAUAAUAAUUAAAACCGCAUGGUUUUAGUUUAAAAGAUGGUCUUGCUAUCACUAAGAGAUGGUCCCGCGGUGUAUUAGUUAGUUGGUGAGGUAAUGGCUCACCAAGACAAUGAUACAUAGCCGAGUUGAGAGACUGACCGGCCACAAUGGGACUGAGACACGGCCCAUACUCCUACGGGAGGCAGCAGUAGGGAAUCUUCCACAAUGGACGAAAGUCUGAUGGAGCAACGCCGCGUGUGUGAUGAAGGGUUUCGGCUCGUAAAACACUGUUGUAAAGAGAAGAAUGACAUUGAGAGUAACUGUUCAAUGUGUGACGGUAUC